rnacentral:rRNA from 1 species
GAGUUUGAUCAUGGCUCAGGACGAACGCUGGCGGCACGCUUAACACAUGCAAGUCGAACGAGAUCCUCGGAGCUUGCUCCGAGGGGACAGUGGCGAACGGGUGAGUAACACGUGAGAAACCUGCCCCGAAGACCGGGAUAACACCGGGAAACCGGUGCUAAUACCGGAUGCCCUCUCUGGAUCGCGUGAUCCGGCGAGGAAAUGGAUUCCGCUUCGGGAUGGUCUCGCGGCCUAUCAGCUUGUUGGUGGGGUAACGGCCCACCAAGGCUUCGACGGGUAGCUGGUCUGAGAGGAUGUCCAGCCACACUGGGACUGAGACACGGCCCAGACUCCUACGGGAGGCAGCAGUGGGGAAUCUUGCGCAAUGGGCGAAAGCCUGACGCAGCGAUGCCGCGUGCGGGAUGAAGGCCUUCGGGUUGUAAACCGCUUUCAGCAGGGACGAAAUUGACGGUACCUGCAGAAGAAGCCCCGGCCAACUACGUGCCAGCAGCCGCGGUAAUACGUAGGGGGCGAGCGUUGUCCGGAUUUAUUGGGCGUAAAGAGCUCGUAGGCGGUUCGAUAAGUCGGAUGUGAAAUCUCCACGCUCAACGUGGAGAGGCCAUUCGAUACUGUCAUGACUCGAGUCCGGUAGGGGAGUGUGGAAUUCCGGGUGUAGCGGUGAAAUGCGC